rnacentral:misc_RNA from 1 species
GAUGAAGAACGUAGUGAAAUGCGAUAAGUAAUGUGAAUUGCAGAAUUCAGUGAAUCAUCGAAUCUUUGAACGCACAUUGCGCCCUCUGGUAUUCCGGGGGGCAUGCCUGUUCGAGCGUCAUUAUAACCACUCAAGCUCUCGCUUGGUAUUGGGGUUCGCGGUUCCGCGGCCCCUAAAAUCAGUGGCGGUGCCUGUCGGCUCUACGCGUAGUAAUACUCCUCGCGAUUGAGUCCGGUAGGUCUACUUGCCAGCAACCCCCAAUUUUUACAGGUUGACCUCGGAUCAGGUAGGGAUACCCGCUGAACUUAAGCAUAUCAAUAAGCGGAGA